GGCACUUGCACACGUUGCGGUGCAACAAUUGUAAAACA
rfam:Clostridium ultunense Esp genomic scaffold, CTLT_3033